ACGGAGCGCCGGACACGGACUAUUUCGGUAGGAAGCGUGCGGAGGCUUAGUGGCGGACGGGUGAGUAACGCGUGGAUAACCUGCCGCAUACCAGGGGGAUAACAGCUGGAAACAGCUGCUAAUACCGCAUAUGCCCGCAGUGCCGCAUGGCACAGCGGGGAAAACUCCGGUGGUAUGCGAUGGGUCCGCGUCUGAUUAGGCAGUUGGCGGGGUAACGGCCCACCAAACCGACGAUCAGUAGCCGGCCUGAGAGGGCGGACGGCCACACUGGGACUGAGACACGGCCCAGACUCCUGCGGGAGGCAGCAGUGGGGAAUAUUGCACAAUGGGGGAAACCCUGAUGCAGCGACGCCGCGUGAAGGAAGAAGUAUCUCGGUAUGUAAACUUCUAUCAGCAGGGAAGAAAACAGACGGUACCUGACUAAGAAGCCCCGGCUAACUACGUGCCAGCAGCCGCGGUAAUACGUAGGGGGCAAGCGUUAUCCGGAUUUACUGGGUGUAAAGGGGGCGCAGACGGCCAUGGCAAGCCCGGUGUGAAAGGCAGGGGCAUAACCCCUGGACUGCACUGGGAACUGUCAGGCUGGAGUGCCGGAGGGGUAAGCGGAAUUCCUGGUGUAGCGGUGAAAUGCGUAGAUAUCAGGAGGAACACCGGCGGCGAAGGCGGCUUACUGGACGGCAACUGACGUUGAGGCCCGAAAGCGUGGG
rnacentral:rRNA from 1 species